rnacentral:rRNA from 1 species
AUUGAACGCUGGCGGCAUGCCUUACACAUGCAAGUCGAACGGCAGCACGGGUGCUUGCACCUGGUGGCGAGUGGCGAACGGGUGAGUAAUACAUCGGAACAUGUCCUGUAGUGGGGGAUAGCCCGGCGAAAGCCGGAUUAAUACCGCAUACGAUCUACGGAUGAAAGCGGGGGACCUUCGGGCCUCGCGCUAUAGGGUUGGCCGAUGGCUGAUUAGCUAGUUGGUGGGGUAAAGGCCUACCAAGGCGACGAUAAGUAGCUGGUCUGAGAGGACGACCAGCCACACUGGGACUGAGACACGGCCCAGACUCCUACGGGAGGCAGCAGUGGGGAAUUUUGGACAAUGGGCGAAAGCCUGAUCCAGCAAUGCCGCGUGUGUGAAGAAGGCCUUCGGGUUGUAAAGCACUUUUGUCCGGAAAGAAAUCCUUGGCCCUAAUACGGUCGGGGGAUGACGGUACCGGAAGAAUAAGCACCGGCUAACUACGUG